GAAACGGUGUCGGAGGAGAAAGACAGGGGAAAAGACGUUCUUUUUCCCCUGUCUUUCUCUUCCGAAACCGUUUC
rnacentral:pre_miRNA from 1 species